rnacentral:tRNA from 1 species
CGGGGCGUAGCGCAGCCUGGUUAGCGUGCUGCCUUGGGAGCAGGAGGUCGUAGGUUCGAAUCCUACCGCCCCGACCA